AGGGGCGCAGCAGGCGCGAAAACUUUACAAUGCAGGAAACUGUGAUAAGGGAACCCCGAGUGCCCGUAUACGCGGGCUGUCCAGGUGUCUAAAAAGCACCUGAAGAAAGGGCCGGGCAAGACCGGUGCCAGCCGCCGCGGUAAUACCGGCGGCUCGAGUGGUGGCCACUUUUAUUGGGCUUAAAGCGUCCGUAGCUGGACUCCUAAGUCCCUUGGGAAAUCUCUUGGCUUAACCAAGAGGCGUCUAAGAGAUACUGGGAGUCUAGGGACCGGGAGAGGUGAGAGGUACUCCGGGGGUAGGG
rnacentral:rRNA from 1 species